GCCGGGAUAGCUCAGCCAGUGGGGCAAAAGACUCUUCAUCUCAGGGUCAUGGGUUCGAGCCCCACAUUGGGCA